UUUGAAAGGAACGACUAACAACGGAGCCCUCUCGCCGGCCCUUGCCAGGAUCCACCUCGCCUCCAUGGCCAUCGGAGACGAGGCAGACCUGUGACGGAGCCGGCGAGAGGCACAAACCCUGGCUUUUUUGGUGAAGGAGGAGGAGGCGGCUGCGUUGGCCUUGUUCUAUGCUUCAAUAGCUAGCUUCUAGCUAGCCAUGUGUAUGAUAAAAUCGUGGUUUUGAUGGUAAACAUGAAUGCCUCGGCAUGUGUAGUGUAUGUCUUGAGUAUGCAAUUGCAUUUCUAGUUGGGAGUAGGCCUUUGUUUUGUAUUUCAUGUAAGAUUACAAGGACAUCCGUGUAUUCGAUAAAAUCCAUUAUCAUUGAACUUUUGUAUCGGUGUAUUCUUUGAAUGGCUCGCACUAAGGUGACGGCUCGGACAUCCACUGGAGGAAAAACCCCUCGGAAGCAACUUGCUAAAAUGAUUGUACACGUAAUGCAUUGCACAUUGUUCGUCAUUCCUUUCAAUGGCUUCCACUAGGAAGCACGGAAAUUUAGUUCCUUGUACGAAUUUUCUGAUCACAGCAGAAUUAAUUUGUUUUGACAUAAUAGGCAGCUCGGAAGACAGCUCCUUCAAUAGGACAAGUGAAGAAGCCUCGCCAGUACCGCCCUGGAACUGUUGCUCUUCGUGAAAUCCGCAAGUAUCAGAAGGGCACUGAGCUACUCAUAAGGAAGCUGCCCUUUCAAAGUCUUGUUAGGUAGACUGCCAUGGCUUCAAAGAGUGAUCUACGAUUCCAAAGCCAUGAGGUGCUCGCUAUGCAAGAGGCAGCAGAGCAUACCUAGUGGGUCUCUUUGAGGACACGAACCUAUGUGAUAUUCAUGCCAACCGUGUAACCAUCAUGUCUAAGGAUGUUCAACUUGCUAGGAGGAUCCGUGGCGAGAGGCCUUGAUUUGAUUGGAUAUGGAAUUACCUAUGGUCUUCAAUAGUUUGUGUGAAUGCUUUUAUGUUGCAAGAAAGUCAGCAUUUGAUGAUGAACGUUCAACUAUCUAUGGGAUA